rnacentral:rRNA from 1 species
CCUACGGGAGGCAGCAGUGGGGAAUUUUGGACAAUGGGCGAAAGCCUGAUCCAGCAAUGCCGCGUGAGUGAAGAAGGCCUUCGGGUUGUAAAGCUCUUUUGUCAGGGAAGAAACGGUGAGGGCUAAUAUCCCUUGCUAAUGACGGUACCUGAAGAAUAAGCACCGGCUAACUACGUGCCAGCAGCCGCGGUAAUACGUAGGGUGCAAGCGUUAAUCGGAAUUACUGGGCGUAAAGCGUGCGCAGGCGGUUUUGUAAGUCUGUCGUGAAAUCCCCGGGCUCAACCUGGGAAUUGCGAUGGAGACUGCAAGGCUAGAAUCUGGCAGAGGGGGGUAGAAUUCCACGUGUAGCAGUGAAAUGCGUAGAGAUGUGGAGGAACACCGAUGGCGAAGGCAGCCCCCUGGGUCAAGAUUGACGCUCAUGCACGAAAGCGUGGGGAGCAAACAGGAUUAGAUACCCUGGUAGUCCACGCCCUAAACGAUGUCUACUAGUUGUCGGGUUUUAAUAACUUGGUAACGCAGCUAACGCGUGAAGUAGACCGCCUGGGGAUACGGUCGCAAGNUUAAAACUCAAAUGAAAUUGACCGG